GAAAUAGAUACCCCAGGUAGUCCACGCCGUAAACGAUGAGUGCUAAGUGUUAGGGGGGUUUCCGCCCCCUUAGUGCUGCAGCUAACGCAUUAAGCACUCCGCCUGGGGAGUACGGUCGCAAGACUGAAACUCAAAGGAAUUGACGGGGGGCCCGCACAAGCGGUGGAGCAUGUGGUUUAAUUCGAAGCAACGCGAAGAACCUUACCAGGUCUUGACAUCCCAUUGACCACUAUGGAGACAUAGUUUUUCCCUUCGGGGACAACGGCGACAGGUGGUGCAUGGUUGUCGUCAGCUCGUGUCGUGAGAUGUUGGGUUAAGUCCUGCAACGAGCGCAACCCUUGUUCUUAGUUGCCAUCAUUUAGUUGGGCACUCUAAGGAGACUGCCGGUGACAAACCGGAGGAAGGUGGGGAUGACGUCAAAUCAUCAUGCCCCUUAUGACCUGGGCUACACACGUGCUACAAUGGACGGUAACAAACGGUUGCCAACCCGCGAGGGGGAGCUAAUCCGAUAAACCGUUCUCAGUUCGGAUUGUAGGCUGCAACUCGACCUCAGU
rnacentral:rRNA from 1 species